AUGGAACAAUGGUUCCAGUUGGAGGAAAUUGCCAAAAGCAUUACCUUUACUGCCGAGCCGGAUGCCCUGAUUUGGCAGCUGGACAAUAAGGGGAAGUAUUCCUCCAGCUCCCUCUAUCAUGUUAUCAACUUUAGAGGGGUUCAACCCGUGUUUAUCCCUGCUGUCUGGAAAUUGAGAGUUCCCCCAAAAAUUCAUGUAUUUCUCUGGCCUCUCUCCAAAAACAAAUUGAUUACUAGGGAUAACCUUAGGAAGAGACACAUCAUCAAACUCCUUGAUUGUGUUUACUGCUUGGAACAAGAGUCUUGUUCUUACCUAUUUUUUGAAUGUAUAGUUGCUAAACAUCUCUGGGCCCACAUUGAGGAAUAUUUCUCUAGUCAGAUUGGCUCAUCCUUCGAAUCUGUCGCCAGAUUCUGGAUUGCUACCAAAAAGUGCUCAGUUUUAAAUACUGUUAGCUCAGCUGUCCUUUGGUGCCUCUAGAAAUAUAGAAAUGCUAUGAUUUUCAGUAACACCUCCUGGAUUUCCAUUCCGCAGGUCUUGAGGUUGAUCAGGAACAUGGUGAGGAACUGGGCGAUUCUCUCCUCCGGAUCAGACAAGGAUAAGUUGAUGAGCUUCGUGGAAACCCUAACAAGAUCCCUCCAAAAAAAGUUGGCAAUCACUUAUGGCUGA
rnacentral:rRNA from 1 species